rnacentral:lncRNA from 1 species
ACAGAACAGGAACAGUUGGCGGUAGGAAAAAGUAUUUGCAAUUGGACUCUCUCCCCUGGAUAUGAUUGUAUCAAUCCUGGAUGUAGGCCUAUAAACUGUACAACAAGUAGUGGGAAAUGGAACGCCACACAUGUUCAGCUGAGAAAUGGGACUUGGCUGAAAUGCUCAUAUAGGGCAUUUUUUGGAUCCAGAUGUAAAGCUGUGGCAAGAGCCCAAGCGGGGGGACAAUUCGAUAGUCAAAUCUUAGACUGUCAACAUGAUAACACAACUAAGGAACAGCAUGUGGUGCGGGUCUAUCGCUGGAGAUGGCAGAAUGAGAAUGGGAGGCGAGUGUUCUUUAAGCAUUUCUGGUCAGCUUAUAAUAUAACUGGCCACCAAGGAGAACUGAAUUGUGACUGUAAGUGGAAACCCGAUGCGGGAGCUUGGAAGUGCGCAUAUACGAGUACGAACGGGGCAGACAUUGUAACAGGACCACUCGGUAACAAGGACACUCUGUAUUAUCACGCCCCAAGGGCUAAAAAGGGAUGGAAUGGUCCUUUUCCAAAUGGGACAUGGGCCCUAAAGGGACAUUAUUGGGUGUGUGGCAAACAUGCUUACAAGAGGCUACCUGAAAAUUGGUCGGGAAUAUGCUAUGUGGGGUACAUAAGACCCUUGUUCUUUUUAUUGUCACAAACACAAGGAGAUCAUUUAGGAAUAUGCUAUGUGGGGUACAUAAGACCCUUGUUCUUUUUAUUGUCACAAACACAAGGAAAUCAUUUAGGAAUAAGAUUAUAUGAUGACCUGAACAGAAUGAAACGGUCUAUUGAUACUUCCUCAGCUGGGGGUAGUGCCCCAAAAUGGGGAAAAGAUGAAUGGCCUCCUGAAAGAGAGGCUCUGCAUUCAAAGGAGAAGCCACUUCUUCUUCGUCUGGUGCUGCUGCUGGACCAAGAGGGGCUUCACUGGCUUCCUCCACAGGUUGUCCAGCCCAGGCAGAAGCCACUUCUUUUCGUUCUUCCUCUGGUGCUGCUGCUGGAGUGACAGGGUCUCUGAUGGCCUCCCCCACAGGGCCUCCAGCCAAAGCAGAGGCUAAGGAUGAAGAGUGUACAGGCUCCGCUGUGGGAGGAAGCACCCUGUGCCCUGUGGCCGUGGGAGCAGUUGGUGCCUUGAUCGUGGCUCCCUGGAUGAUGGCUACAGAAUGGAGUAGGACUGCAGAGACAAUGAUCUGGGCUGUUUCAUACAGAUAUUCAUCAGAGACACUGGAGGCAUUUUGGCCAU